UGUUUCAUGGCUAGAAAGAGGUCAUCCCUGAGAGGUCCCAGCCUAGACCUGAAGUCAAACUGUGAAGUUUGACCCUCCCCAGAGUGCAGCUCCUGCUAAGACCAGACUGAGCCAGAACAGAGGAGAGGGCAGAUAGAGAAAGUGCCCUGCUGCCAUGACACCAUCUCCCUCAUGAAGGGCAGGGCUUCCUUCUCCUUGCUGAGUUUCUUGUUUUCAGUUUGAGACAGAAUCUUACAGCCCAGGCUGGCCUCUAACUUGCUGUGUGGCAGAAGAUGACCUUGAACUUGUGAUUCUCCAGAUUUCAUCUCCUUAGUGCUGGAAUUAUAGGGUUUACUGCUGUGUUUACAGGAAGGAUUUGCUCAUUCUCCGUGCUAGGGCUGGGUGUAAUUGGGGACUCAUCAUCUUGUUUGCAAGACUGAUGCUUUCUAGUUCUCGAAUCACCUUUGAAGUGUCUCUUUGAGGCCUGUCCUCCCAGACUGGGAAAGAUAAUGGCUUUCCUGUAGGACUCCGGCUGGCUUUACCCAGCCUGACAAAGCUUCCCAGUCAUCAAUAAGGCUGGCUUUUGUGUUGCUGCUAUUGAAAUCUAUAGUCUAAGAAACAGAUUCAUUCACAAGGAAACAGACAGCUACUAGCCAGUAGACGGGAGGCAACAAAUGAUCGCGUUUUAAUACAUUAUUUAUCACCUGUUCAAUUCAAACAUCUUUCUUGUGCAGCUCAUCAGUUCAGCAACACUGAAAGCCUCUUACUCACUCGCUGCUGUAUCAAUACAGACAACAAAGGUGUCCUGAUACUACCGAAGCAGUCACUGAUUACCUGAGAACUUCUUGGUUUUUGCCUUUAGUAUUCUGUUUGGAGCACUCUUUUUCUGGGUCAAGCCAUUUCAGUGGUGGAAACAACCUUCUUUCAUUCUCAAGCAUACACGGCAGCACUCUAUACGUUGAGAGGAUAUGGGUUUGAACACCGGCAGGUGUACGAACUCCCAACAUGCUGGGGAGAUGUAUUUGUCAUGUUGUUAACUGAGAUGUGUGUGACUUGGCUCUUGCAAAUGUUUCCUUUAGGGCUGAAAACUCUCCAAGACCCAGCUAAGGCUUCAUGUCCCUUUGCAAAGCUGUGCCCACCUGGCCAUUUUCAAAGUGCUGGAGGUUGGUCUGGGGCCAAGCAUCUCAGGUUUCUUAAAGGCCAGGGCUCUUUCUAUUUGCCAUGGUGGAUGGUGUGGAGUCAUUACUGUGCUAUAGUAGUCAUGACUGCCAUUUAUAAAGCUACCUGUCCUUAUCUGAGAAAAGAUCCUUUAUGCAUAUGCAAAUGUAUCUCCCUUUUCUUGGUUUGUAUACCUCUCCUUUGUGCUGUAUAGUAACCAUUGAGGGAUGUUCAGAAUCCAAACUUCGUCACACAUUAUUGCUCUAAGUAAUAAUGGAUUUGGAAUCUAAAUCUGGAGUUCACUGGUAGGAAUCAGUGAACCUUGUUCCUCUUAUGUACAUGUAACAAUGUCCCCUGUCAACAACUGUCAGUAGAAACACAUGUGGGGGAGAAUAGUAUUAAUUAUAUUCAAUUCCAUGUCAUAAAGGAGUGAUCCAUAUAAUCACCACCAUGUUUUGUACAUAUAAAAAUAUUUCCUGUAAAUAUACACAGGCAAGUGCAUUGCCAUUAUCCAGGAUCCAGGUGGGAAAAGAUAAAGUCAAGGACUUUAGUUUAUUCCAAGUGCAUAUUUUAGUUCUGGUAAAGGAGUUAAUACUUUCAGGGAUUUGUGACACAAUUAUAGAUCUAAUUACUUAAGUUCCUGGUACCAAGUAGGUUAUUUCUACCUGAUCUUCAAAGCCCAGACUCCCCAAGACAGAGACGUACAACCUUGGCCAAGUCAGUAUUAAGCAAAUGAUUUAACAUCUAAUGAGUUAAGAGGUUCCCUAAAAUUAUUUUCCAAUCCUGGUGUCCAGGAACCCAGGGAAGAAUCUAGUCAUGGGUGUGCAUUUAUUUAAUAGAGAUUGAAGAAAAUCACUUGGAAGCUAAGAGUGUUGGUAUUCUAAUAAAAGAAUAGAUUUAGCUUAUAAGAAAAAAAAUCUGGAUUUUUGGAGAAAUUGUUUUUCAUUUAAUCAGAAGCACAUGACAGAAAAAGGAAGCACAUUUGUAUAUAGUGGCAACUAUAUUUCUGAUAAUAAAUUUCAUGAAAUGUUUUCUGUACCAAUCAGAAUAGGCAGCUGAGAACCUUCCUCUCUGAAAAUAAGACAGUUAUUCAAUGAGUACAUUCUUAGGAAAGCUUUCUCACUUUCUUUCAUGAAAAUAUUAGAUUUUGGAAGUUUAAAAUAACUGUAUACCUGUGGAUAGCCUCGAUUCAUGUAACUACAUUCAGGUCAGAUCUUUUAUAAGAAUAGUUAUUGUUGAUAAAUAUAUGGUAUUUUCAAAAAGCAUUUUUAGAUAUCCAUUUAUGGAAGCUUUUUAGAGGAUUAAGUUCUUCCUUUGGUUCUUAGUUUCCUUUCUCAUGUGAGUAGCAGCAGAAGAAAGCAACCAGCCAUUUGAAUUAGCUUAUUACAAAAUGUGGAGUAUGUAUAAACUUUAAAUGAUAUAAUAUUUGGAUUAAUAAAACAGAAUAUAAACACUAUAGAACAGUCAAAAACUACUAUUCUUGAAGCCAGAAAAAAAUCAUUUGGAGACAUAUAACAUAUUAAAAAUAUGGGGACAUAUAACAUAUUAAAAAUGCAAUAGCAGAGAUUGAACUGAUUGACUCACAAUUCUAUAAUUUAUGGAAGAAAGAAAAACAUUAGAGGGUAAGUUUAAGCUGUUUUGAAGACACUUUCCCUUGGUUUUCUGAUAUGUUCUUUUCAAAUAUUCUGAAAAUUUAAGAAGUAUGUGUUUCAGGUACUUAUGGCUAAGUUUUGAUAUUUGAUUGGGUUAUUCCAUAUUUUCAUCUUUCCAAAAAGAGUUUAUGUUUUAACACUUUCAGGAUGUUAAAGAUGUCCUCAAAAUGGUUCAUUGGACAUGGUGAGUGUCAAUGAAUAUUUACUGUAUAAUGAGAUCUGAGGUUAACAACAAUAAAACUGCAAAUCAGAAUAGAAAUAUGUUUCCUAACUUUUCCAUGUAAACAAUAUUUCAAUGUGUAUAAAAGUGUUUAGUUCCUCAGUUUUGUGCUACAUAUGAUUUGAAGCAGUCUGACCCGGAUGGCACCAGAUUGAAUCAGUCUUCCCACUCCACGAGGGCUCCAUGUUUAUCAAGGUCUCUUCCUUCUAAAACUGGGAGCCCUGUUAGGAUUAGCAACAUGUUCUAAGAUGGGCCCAUAGGGUACUUGCCUCUGUGCCUUGCUAACCAAGCUUAGGAUUUGACAAUGGGCAUGAAAUGUUCAUAAAGAAUUGCUUUGAUGAUGCUUCACAAACAGAAAGAAGGUCUCUGGGGGAGGAAGGAAGGUUGGGGAGGGGCUGGAAUUUUAUCUUACCUUCUCAUGUGUUCCUAUUGGGGAAAGAAAAACCAGGAAAUCCCUUGAAGCUCUGAGAAUCAGACAAUACCAGGCUUCCAGCUGGACACUACAGAAGCCAAGUGCCACACCCCACUGCAGGUCUCAGUGGGGCCCCAGGACUUCACAUCUUUAACAAGUCUGAGUGGUGCUGAGGAUGUGGUUAUGGGGACUGUUCCCUUCCCAGGGUUAGGGCAACAACUAAAAGAGAAAGAUGCUGACAGUCCAUGGUUUGUUAGGCUAAAACAGGCCUGCCUGGAUCUCACACUCUUUUGCAUCUCUUCUCUGAACCUGGGGGCUUGACAUGAACUUCUGGAGAUGCCUGGCCACUCUGGGAUGAGGUAAGAGGCUCCAGAGUCAUCAUCACUUUGAAACUAUUUUGAGGAAGAUCCACCUCAGUGUCCCUAGAUUAUAGUCACUGAGGUAAGACACAACCUCGACAUUUCCUAGCCAGACAUCUUGGCAGAUGAUUUAACCUCCGUGCCCCUAAUUUCCUCAUCUACAAAUGGGAAGAACAAGAAUUAGCUGCUUCCUGGACUGUAGUCCAUGAACAUGGUAUGUGUAAAGUAGUGGCUCAUAGCAAGCAAGAGAAUUAGUCAGAAAAAAGGCAGUUCAGAGGGUACAAAUGAGGAGGUUACAAUGCAGGAACUACACACAGAAGAGUAUAAAAAUGUUCAGGUACUCAGAGAGGAAACUAAGCCUCUGGAGGUCAGAGAGAUCCACAGCUUGCAGGAGGACCACCCUGGAAAGAGCUACUGUAGUCAUAUAAGGGAUAAGCCACUGCCCAGGAUUCUGCAUCAGUGUGAGAUUGUGGUAAAAUAUAUAUAUGCUGGCAUCUCUUUCUUCCCCCUGCUGUUCUUCAAGGUCUCUGAUUAGCAAUAGCAGAAGGCAAGAGGACCAGCUACAGUGUGCAGGAGUCUGCCUCCCACAGGGCAGAGCAGAGAGAGAAACACAUCAAGGAUGGAGCAGUGGCAGGUGGGGGGUCUGGAACACAGUGCCGGAUAGGUGUGUAGUUGCUACUGGAUGAAGAUUUACACCAGUUUCUUGGAAAUUUCAAUUUAUGCUUGUGGUAUACUUUCAAUCUUAAAGGUAUUUCAUAUCUCAGGGGAUGUUUGCACCAACACUCUAAAACACCAUGUCAUUUGGAGUUCAAGUUACACGAGCACUCUAGUCAUUAUCAAAGUGUGGGAGAAUCUGUGAUGUGGCAGACUUGAAUACUUUCUCUCUGCCCAGUGCAGCAUUCCUGGAAGUGGCUUCUCCCUUAGAACAGAAAGCAAGUUCAGUCACUUGGCCCUGACUCGAUGAAAUUAAUGUUUGGUCUAUUGAUCAGGCAGGUGUUACCUGGGUGUGUCGGGUGGGGAAAGACACAUCUAGCACACUCAGAACAGCAAACAUUUGUGAUAUGUUGACUUUGUCUUAUUUAUAUCAUGCAGCAAUAAAUGUGUUUGUUGUUGCUAAGUCCCUAAGCCAUAUCCCUUUCAGAAGCUAUCAGACUGGCUGGGCCAAGAGCACAGAGGGAGACUCUUUUCCUGGAGUGGUGUAGAAAAGCCUGGAAGCCUGGCAUCUCUCUGAAAUGCUGUAUCAAAGGCCCAGCCCAGCACACAGGGCAGUGGGUAUACGAGGCCUGCCUCUGAGAAUCCUCCAAGGAGGCCUCGAGGAGCCAAGGCACACUUAAGCUUGUCUCCAAAGAACCCAAAACUCAUCCCAGACUUGCUUUGUCUGUUUAGCAAACUCACUGCACACCUCACCUGUCUUUGCGCCUGCCGUCUAGGAGGGUCUUUGAAAUUUAUUUUCUCCUUUUAGCCUGCUGUAUUUUUAAUGUCUGAGUGAAAGAACAAAGGAAGGCGAACACCAGACAAGAUCGUUUCAUUCCUCCAUGAGCUGCGGUGUAGCUCCGCUCAAGCUCAGCUAACAUCAAUGUUUUAAAAUUCCGUCUUUGCUAGAGAACCGGUGCUGGGGUAGUCAUCCACGCCAAAGUCAGGGCCCUGUUUCUGCCUUUCAUUUGGGGACAUAAAAGGCCCGUGCAUCAAUCAUUAACAAUCUAUUAACACUAGCAGCUCAGAGAGGUUUUCCUGGUAUGGUCAACCUCAUUGGAAGAAAUUCCUGCUGCCCAGCUGGCCGUCUGUCCGUGUGAUCCACCCAUACUGGCUGUUUUCAGCUUUGAAAGGGCUCACUGACUCCUCUUUCAUCUCUCCCUGAGUAAUAGAUACCUGGUAGGCUGGCUCUCCUCCUCCCCCACUGUCAGCUUCCCCACCUGCCUCCUCAGACUUCUGGCUUGAAGAACCGCUUGCGUGAACACUGACACUAUUGAUUGUGUGUAAGUGGCGUGCGGGGCUGCUAGACAUCUACCUGGAUAUGCAGGCAAGAGGAUAGGGCUGGUUCAUCUACAUGAGCAGAGCAGGGAGGGUCUUGGAAGUCUCUGCUUGGUGUUCCCGACUGUUGAAUUUAAUUGGUUUAAACCAGUCGGCAGGAAGAGGUCUAGCUCAUCAAUCAGAACCUGCUUUGGAAAAGGCUGAUGGAUUGGGUGCACAUCUGGAAGUUCUGCAAAACCUAGAGAGUUUUGGUCUAGACUUUCCUUUCCUCCCUCUGUGACAAAAUACACACCACACAAAUGUUACCAUUGUGACUACUUAAAGAUAGACUCAGAGACAUUGAAGCAGCUCCAUGGCAUUGCACCACACCCACCCACAGCUUUCAUGAAUCUUCCUAACUUAAAGACUCUCCAUGCAACCUUAGUCAGUAAAUCAGCCUGUCUCAGCCCCCAUUGUCCUUAAAAACCACUGUUUGACCUCUCUCUGAGUUUAACCCUCAGCUUUAUAUAUGUGAAGUCACACAGUGACUGGCUGUGACUGGCUCCUUUCAAUGCACAUGCCAGCAUUUUAUAAUAAAUAAUUCUAUAAUAAGUAAAAUAUUUAUAAUAUAUUUUAUUAUAAAAAACUAUUUAUAAUAAGCAAAUAGUAUUUAUUUAGUCAUUUAUUUACUUUACCACAGUCUGCAUGUCCCCUCACUUACCCAUGGAUGUCCUGUUGUCUCUAACUUUGGCCGAUUGCGAACGGUGUUAUUAUAAACACGUGUGCAGAGACUGCCCUCCAGAAUCUCUGCUCUUGAUUGUCUGGGUUAGAAACCCAGAGGUAGACCACCAGAGCACUUGUCAGUCCUGUGUUUAGAAUUUUCAGGCUCUGUCAUACUGCUUUCCAUACCAGUUAUCCUGUGCCUUACCUACACCCAGCACUACACGGGAGGUCCAAGUUUUGUAGGGAUUACUGAAGUGCCAGUGCUCUCCCCCCAAUGCUUUUUUCCCCUCCUCCUCAGCGGAGGGGAAGACCACAGGCAACUUAAUGGGAUAUUUAGCUGAACUCACCCCUCAGCUGCCUCUUGUAUGUGAUUGAUAUCUAGAAGCUCUGUGGCAUUUCUUUCAAAGUAGAGUCUCAUCCUGGUCCAGCUGGCCCCUCCCCAGUGUCCUCCAUGUUCCUUCUGCUGCAGGGUGCCCUGGCAUUUUCUUCCUUCAACAAUGAAAUGAGAUUCCCUGGGAGGUGUACAUGCCAUGUGGUGUGUCCGUUUGCCUAUUAUGGACAAGGGUUGCUUCUGCCUUCUAGAUAAUGUAAAUAACGUUGUUAACAAUGUAGGUUUACAAAUAUCUUCUCUGGUUCCUCUGGACCCGCUGGCAGGUGGGAAUGAAGUUUCUGUAUCUUCAGUGCUGACUUUGAUACUGAGUCAUCAAAUGACCUUCACCAGGUGAGGAAGUCACUAGUCUCUGACCAGCUUUCCUGCUUGGAGCAGCUGUUCUCCUCUGACAAGAGCUGCUGUGCCAGACAAAGGCGUUGAGGACCAGCUGUAGGGAAGGAAAUUGAAGGGCUGGAGAACUAUGGAAUGAGAAGAUACAAGGAAGGAACCAAGAACCCAGUGAGAGGUGACUAGUAUGACGAACCCGUGCCAAAACCCAUACUUAGCUGCUGAAAGCUCCUUGCCGGGUUGCCUCUGAAGUUAAUGGCAGAGUCUUUGAAAAUGACCUUAGAAGCAAAUCAUAAGCAACCGAGGACAUGAAACUACCUCAAGUCCGUCUGUUGGAGUGCGAGCCACCUCCAAGCUUCCAUUCCCAUGUAAAACAGAAGAUAUGAUUUAUAAUUUAUAGCGCAUCGGUACAGCCCUGAUUGAAGCAAACCACUUUGAUGAAGAGUUGGUUUCAUGCUAGUGUCGUGGAACACCACUCCAAAUCAGAAAAUAUUUAGAACUCCAACUCCUCUGCUCUGACUUUGAAGUAAAGAGAUUUGUAUUUUAUGUGCUUCUCUGAACGAAAAAAAAAUAAAGAAAAAUGUGUGUACACUCCAACAUGCAUGUGGUAGGAAUAUGAAAACAUUUACAUGUGUAUCAGCACCAAAAUGUAAUUACUGCAUUAGGCACUGAAAAUAUUUAUAGACUCAUAUCUCAUGUGGAAGACCUGGUUCCAAUAAUUCUCAGAAAAUUGUGAAAUUCAGACUUUGUUUUCUUGGGACUAACUUAAUUUAUUUGAAAUUGACAACACAUGAAGGACAAAAAUCAAAGCCCGUCAACUUUCCACCACCCCAGCUAAUGACCUAUUAAAGUUGUGAGUAUAUACUGUGUCUCUAUUUGUAGGUGAACAUGUCAUGGGGAAAGAAGGAAUGAGGUACUUUUCUCAUCAUUGUAACAAAUAACUGGAAAGCAGCAACUUCAGGGAGAAAUUGAUUUGGGGGAUUCACAAUUUCAUGGUGGGGUGAGAGAGUUCCAUGGUGGUAAGAGGGUGAGUGAUUUGUUCACAUAUUGAUGAACCAGGAAGCAGCCAGAACAUGCAAGGAAACUGGGGGCCACAAGGCUCCCUGACCUAAGCAUCCCAUUCCCUUGAACCUGACUCCACCUCCUAAAGGUUCCCCAAACUUCAAAAACAGCAUCACCUAAGGGGUACAGAGUAUUCAAGCACAUGAGCUUGUAGGAUAUAGUCCACACUCAAGGCUAAGAGUUAGCCUCUGGCCUCCAUAGGCUAAAGGCCAUCUCAUAAUAUGUAAUAUAUUUAAUCUAACUUCAAAAGUCCCCAAAAUCUCAUAGCCAUGAGCCCCUGUGAGAUAACAAAAAAAAAUCACAGUCUCAUGGCACAGAGGAAACAUUUAUAUCCCAAUCAAGAGGAAUGGGGUACAGGGAGAAAAGUUCAGCCAAGACCAAACCCCAGCAGAGCAAAUACCAUUGCAACUCUUCAUUUAUAGCAUUUAGGUCUUCUGGUAGCAUAGUCUGGUCUCUAGUAGGCUUAGGUAUAGUUCUGUCUUGAAGCAGCUCCACGCAGUGUUGCCACCUUUUCUCAGCAGAAGUUCCAUGUUUGUGAUAUGUCCUGGUGUCUCCAUUGCAACUCAGGUUUCAUUUUCAGGGUUACAAGCAAGGACCUCUCAGGUUCUUUUGCAAAGGAUCUAACAUUGCUAUAUACUAUAGUGCUUGGUUUCACCAGCUUAUUUUCCGGAUCUUCAGUGUAAGGCUUCAUGACCCCAUAACUCCUGCAUUCUGCAUACCUACAAACCCAGCAAGCAGCAUCGAUGCUCUGCUCACCUCACUGAAGAUGUAGACACCUCUCACUUGGGCCAGUACUAUAGUGGCGUGCAACUGAAAACACAGUGGGAAAACACUGCCCCAGCUUCUGUGUUCCACGAGGACACAUGUGUGCUUGGGACUUUGUGAACAAAGGAAUGGCCAACUCAGAGCUGAAGAAUCAUUGUGGGAAGGUGAUGGGAUGGGGUGCAUUCGAGACAAUGCAACUGCAAAGAUCCUAUGACUCAAGCACUUAGGACGAGAGUCCUGGAAGGGUGGCCAUAGGAAGGACAUCAUACUGGGGUUCGAGAACAAAUGAGAACUAGAGAAAGGUACUGGCUUGAGAAGAAGGCAAUGACACAAGACUCAUUCUUACCUGAGAAUGGAAGGAAAAUUGGGGGAGAAGAACUGAGCGUGAAUUUCAAGACAGCCGACAGGAGCUUCUGCUUAAGAGCGAUGGAAUAGAGGAGUCGAUAGUGGUGGUGUUAGGACUGGAAGGGAAAACAUGCUCAUCCUCAGGACAUAGAUUUAAGAAGCUUUUUUUCUGGGGCUGGAGAUGUGGCUCUGUGCUUAAGAGCACUGGCUGCUCUUCCAGAGGACCCAGGUUCAAUUCUCAGGACCCACAGGGUAGCUCAAGACUGUCUGUAAUUCCAGGGGUUUUCCAAUACCCUCACACAGACAUACACACAGGCAAAACAGCAAUGAAUAUAACAUAAAAAUAUUAAAAAAAAAAAGCUUGUUUCUGACAGGUAUGCUCAUGUGACUUGUUUCAGCCAAUGAAUUGUGAGCAGAAGUGACAUGACCAUUCAGGAUAGAGGCUUUAAGGGGUGAUGGUGACUGGUUCUGCUAUUGGUCUAUCAUGUCAAAUUCUGGCUGUUUAUUACUCCUAGGUCUCUGGGUGGGAGAGCCCCAGAGCAGAGCCCAGAUGGCCUACUGGAUCCAGAACAUGAGGCAGAAUCAUCAGAAACCCUGUGAUGGGGCAAGUGUUUGCCUAGGCAUCAGAAUUAAGCCUGCCCUACAGAGACAAGAGGGGAAAGGAUGUAGGUAGGGAAGAAAGGAGAGGGAGGUAAUUCUCCAGACUAUCUGCCCAGAGCUUACCUCCAGCUCUCCAGUCCAGCUCAGCCUUGCUAGUGUGUCUCCAGCUCCCAAUUCCAACUGAUGCUUUUCAGUAUGACACGGAGGAAAGUGAGCAUGCCUUCUGCGAGUGUGACGCUGAAUGGCAGUGAAGUACUUGAGCGAAGAAACAGUCUCUGCAAGGGCUUCCUCCACAUUGUUAUUCUGCACAGAUGUCUGCACGCACUUGACAUAAGAAGAUUCAAUUAAACUGUCUGGCCACUGUUUCAUGAUACAACCACAGAGUUGUUCUAAAGGGUCAAGGCAUGAUGGGAAUAUUUAACUCCUGGUAGGAGCAGAGAGUAAUUGGAGCAAGCUGGAAGAUGUUUCAGCAUCUGAAGGAUGUGGUGAUCAUUUAGCAGAGGGGCUUAUGGGCAAGACUGGCCACAGGGGAAUAAUGACAUAAUGCACUUGUCAAAGGAGCCUAGGAGCAUUGCACCCUCGACAAGGACAGAGGGAAAAGAUCAGAAACCCCAGUUUAACUGGGCAUGCACACCUUUAAUACCAGCACUUGGGAGGCAGAGGCAGAUGGAUCUCUGAGUUCAAGGCUGACCUGGUCUACAGAGUGAGUUCCAGGACAUUCAGGGCUACACAGAGAAAUCCUGUCUCAAUGCCCCUCCCUCCAACAAAAAGUGUUGUAGGUCCUCGAAGUUGAGAGCUCUCUGACUCAGCCUUAUUAUGCCCUACUUCCUGUUUUUGCUGGAUUAUUCUACUCAAUCAAUGCUGGAUGCCCUGAUUACCAGAAUGAAGGUGAAAAAAUUAAUAUAGAGAAGGCGAAGGCUUGCUUUAGGUGUCAGGGACAAGGAUGAUAGGCAAAUGUCCUCAGGUGACAGGUAAGUAUGCCAGACCUAAGGACCUACCUACAACUGGAGGCUAUAAGGGGCACAGUUGCCUUUCUCUCGUACUAGUAUUGACAUGUGCAGAAUAGUAUGUGGUUGAUGUUUUCAUUUACUUACUUAUUUUUGCCAUGCUAGGGGAGGUCAAACUCAGGGCUUUGUGUAUACCAGAUAAGGCCUCUACUGCCGAGCUACAUCUCCAAUCCUAAAAGGAGAGUGGGCUCUGGAGCAGGGAGGCUUGUGGAGGGGGACACACACACACACAAAGCACCCCUUCUCUGUUCACUGUAGGAACUCCAAACUUUCCUGUCUGUUUCCCAUCAUGCAUUUCCACACUCAGUUCCAAUUUCAUAUUGCUUUAGAGCAGUGGUUCCCAACCUUCCUAAUGCUGUGACCCUUUAGUACAAUUCCUCAUGUUGUGGUGACCCCCAGUCAUAUAAUUACUUUCAUUGAUACUUCAUAACUGUAAUUUUGCUAUUGUUAAUGAAUUGCAGUGUAAAGAUCUGUGUUUUCUGAUGGCCUUAGAUGACCCCUGUGAAAGGUCAUUCAACCCCCAAAGGGGUUGCGACCCACAAGUUGAGACUUGCUGCUUUAGACAGUUCUGUUUCUUCUCCACAUCCUCUGGACUUCUGGAAGAGGACUGUCUUUGAGGGGCUGCCACUUUGGCCCUGACCUGCCCCUACAGAUCCUAGGGACUGUAUGGAGAUUGUUUAGCCAUGGUUCCAAUCAUCUGAGAGCCCCAUUGUAGCACAGGGAACCAUCAAGUCCUUGGCCUUCUGGCCGAUGUCCCAGUUUCCAUCCAUGUGGGGAUUCAGAGCUCAACCCCCGGCACAUCUCCAGGUUCUCUCCUCCUUUCCCAAAGCCUACUUGAAAAAUUUCUAGAAACGAUGUGCCUCUUCCUGGUCACUCUUGCC
rnacentral:lncRNA from 1 species